GGGGAAUAUUGCGCAAUGGGCGAAAGCCUGACGCAGCAACGCCGCGUAAGUGAAGAAGGCCUUCGGGUCGUAAAGCUUAAUAGUAUGGGAAGAAACAAAUGACGGUACCAUACGAAAGCCCCGGCUAACUACGUGCCAGCAGCCGCGGUAAUACGUAGGGGGCGAGCGUUGUCCGGAAUUACUGGGCGUAAAGAGCACGUAGGCGGCUAAUCAAGUCAGAUGUGAAAAACCAGGGCUCAACCGUGGGAAUGCAACUGAAACUGAAUAGCUUGAGUUAAGGAGAGGAGAGCGGAAUUCCUGGUGUAGCGGUGAAAUGCGUAGAUAUCAGGAGGAAUACCAGUGGCGAAGGCGGCUCUCUGGACUUGUACUGACGCUGAGGUGCGAAAGCGUGGGGAGCGAAC
rnacentral:rRNA from 1 species